AGAUUCACAACUCUUGUGUUUUAGGAUCAUUUGUGAGUGAAAUGAAGAUUUUUGAACACAGCACUGAGAUACUGCCACAGUCCAUCUGAGAGCCAGGAUGGCUAUCGAGCGAAUAAUGGGCAGGCGUCACAUGCAGUGUGGCUGUGCUGGACGAGAGAAGAACGGCUCACAUCCCAGGAACGUGGCCUCUCUCACCUACUACAUCUGUAUUCUUCAUUAUAACUCAGAAGCAGAAUAACUGUUUUAACAAAGUCACAUACUGAAUCCAAGCAACAGAAUCUUUGUAUUUGGACAAGGAGAAUAAAACAUCUUUACUUGACCAAAU
rnacentral:lncRNA from 1 species